rnacentral:rRNA from 1 species
AAUGAACGUUGGCGGCGUGGAUUAGGCAUGCAAGUCGCGCGUGUACCAGCAAUGGGAAAGCGGCGAAAGGGACAGUAAUGUGUAGAUACCUGCCCUCGGGACCGGGAUAGCUGCGGGAAACUGCAGGUAAUACCGGAUGACGUCUCCGGACCAAAGGUGUGAUUCCGCCGGAGGAUGGGUCUACAUCCUAUUAGCUAGUGGGUGAGGUAAUGGCUCACCAAGGCCACGAUGGGUAGCAGGUGUGAGAGCACGACCUGCGUCAUUGGGACUGGAACACUGCCCAGACACCUACGGGUGGCUGCAGUCGAGAAUCUUCGGCAAUGGGCGAAAGCCUGACCGAGCGACGCCGCGUGCGGGAUGAAGGCCUUCGGGUUGUAAACCGCUGUCAGUGGGGAGGAAGGCUCCGUGCAGAGCGGGGUUUGGCCUAUCCGCAGAGGAAGCAAGGGCUAAGUUCGUGCCAGCAGCCGCCGUAAAAC